rnacentral:rRNA from 1 species
GAUCAUGGCUCAGAUUGAACGCUGGCGGAAUGCUUACACAUGCAAGUCGAACGGUAGAGGGGGCAACCCUUGAGAGUGGCGAACGGGUGAGUAAUAUAUCGGAACGUGCCCAGUCGUGGGGGAUAACGUAGCGAAAGUUACGCUAAUACCGCAUACGAUCUAAGGAUGAAAGCGGGGGAUCGCAAGACCUCGCGCGAUUGGAGCGGCCGAUAUCAGAUUAGGUAGUUGGUGAGGUAAAGGCUCACCAAGCCGACGAUCUGUAGCUGGUCUGAGAGGACGACCAGCCACACUGGGACUGAGACACGGCCCAGACUCCUACGGGAGGCAGCAGUGGGGAAUUUUGGACAAUGGGCGCAAGCCUGAUCCAGCAAUGCCGCGUGCAGGAUGAAGGCCUUCGGGUUGUAAACUGCUUUUGUACGGAACGAAACGGUGAGCUCUAAUACAGUUUGCUAAUGACGGUACCGUAAGAAUAAGCACCGGCUAACUACGUG